rnacentral:rRNA from 1 species
AGCGAACGCUGGCGGCAGGCCUAACACAUGCAAGUCGAACGAACUCUUCGGAGUUAGUGGCGGACGGGUGAGUAACACGUGGGAACGUGCCUUUAGGUUCGGAAUAACUCAGGGAAACUUGUGCUAAUACCGAAUGUGCCCUUCGGGGGAAAGAUUUAUCGCCUUUAGAGCGGCCCGCGUCUAAUUAGUUAGUUGGUGAGGUAAGGGCUCACCAAGGCGACGAUCAGUAGCUGGUCUGAGAGGAUGAUCAGCCACAUUGGGACUGAGACACGGCCCAAACUCCUACGGGAGGCAGCAGUGGGGAAUCUUGCGCAAUGGGCGAAAGCCUGACGCAGCCAUGCCGCGUGAAUGAUGAAGGUCUUAGGAUUGUAAAAUUCUUUCCCCGGGGACGAUAAUGACGGUACCCGGAGAAGAAGCCCCGGCUAACUUCGUGCCAGCCGCCGCCGUAA